UGACGUGUGGAGGUACCUCACGAGGGAUGAGGAUGAGGAAGACAGCUCAGAGGUUGAGAUUGAGCUGUGGCAGGGAUAUCCGUACGGUCUACUGUGGUACGCGUUCGUCCUUCUAGCGUCACAAGUACAUUUCUUCCAGUUAUAUUUCUCGUACAACCUACUCAAGGCAUGGCGGGCCAGAGGGUCAUUAAGGAAAACCGACUAAACUAAUAUUACAAUAACGUUCAUUUUACGUCGACGCAGUGUCACUGCCAAGUGCAAAUGAGGCGAGUGUGCAGUGUAUUAAAAAUAAUGAGGAGUGGAAUUUAUAUUUAAAUGUCUUUUUAUUUAUGUUUAUUUGUGGUUUCGCCCGUUAUUUAUUUAGAAAUUAAUGAAUAUGUACGCCAUAUAAUACUUUAUAAAUAUCUAUGUCUUCGAAGUAAUAACUAUGUUGUCCUUUUCUACGUAAUUUAAAAUAAUGUAAGAGUGAAAAAGACGAACAUUAUUCAAGUUGUAGGUAAGGAAGUUUGUACAGUAAAUUUGGGAGUAAUUUGUCGUGUCUCUAUUUGUCUGAAAAAUGAUUAAUGAAGUUAAAAUGUUCAUGUAACUAUUCUAGAUAUUUUGACGUUGAUGUGAGUAUUUAAAAUGGACAUGGAAAUGUGCAAAACGACUCAACGAAGUUCAAAUUAUGUACCCAAUAAUUGUACAUAUUUAGUCAUUACACCCAAAUUUAAUAUAAUAAGAAAUUUAAAUGGAAUAAUGGCAACCCUUUUACUUUGACAAAUGUUACCAUUUUUAAAACCAAAAUGGAGUGAGCCUAAGGCCUACAUUUAAUGUAAAAAAAAAAAAUUGAUGUAAAAACAUUAUCAAAGUAAAUUAAUUUGUAGACAACCUAGAUUAUUCAAUGUCUAUUUUAGAUACAUGUUAUAGAUUCGGUAGUUGGAAGCACAAAUGACAUUUUUAUAUAAAUAUAUACGUUUGAAAUAUAUUUUUUCACUUAUUGUA